rnacentral:lncRNA from 1 species
UAAUGGCUCAUUUAGGCCUAAAUGUAUGGUUUUUUUUUUCCUUUAUAUUUUUUUUUCUUUCAAUCUUUAUUAAGAUUCAUUAAAAUAAAAUUAAUAUAUUUGAGAUAUUAUUUUAUUAGAUAAUAUUCAGUUAUUUAUUUAUUUUCAAAUUAGAUUAUAGCUUUUUUUAAUAGUAGAAGCAUUCUCUUUUGAAUUGGCCUUUGUGAUGGUUUUUUUCUUAAAUUUUAUUUGGUUGGUUACUCUACAUGUUUAUUU